UCCUACGGGGGGCAGCAGUCGGGAAUAUUGCGCAAUGGAGGAAACUCUGACGCAGUGACGCCGCGUGCAGGAAGAAGGUUUUCGGAUUGUAAACUGCUUUAGACAGGGAAGAAAAAAGACAGUACCUGUAGAAUAAGCUCCGGCUAACUACGUGCCAGCAGCCGCGGUAAUACGUAGGGAGCGAGCGUUAUCCGGAUUUACUGGGUGUAAAGGGAGCGUAGACGGCAGGGCAAGUCUGGAGUGAAAGGCAGGGGCCCAACCCCUGGACUGCUCUGGAAACUGUCUGGCUGGAGUGCAGGAGAGGG
rnacentral:rRNA from 1 species